GAUGAAGAACGUAGCGAAAUGCGAUAAGUAAUGCGAAUUGCAGAAUUUCCGUGAGUCAUCGAAUCUUUGAACGCACAUUGCGCCCCCUGGUAUUCCGGGGGGCAUGCCUGUCCGAGCGUCAUUUCAACCCUCAAGCGCGGCUUGUGUUAUGGGCGAUGUCCCCCGUGGACGAGCCCGAAAGUUAGUGACCGCAGCCGCGACUUCGGCGCCUGAGCGAAUGGGAAGUCCACCGCUCCAGAGGCCCGGCCGGCCGUCCGGUCCCGAGAUCUCGUGUGCCUGCGCACGAGAACCCCCCAUCGGUUGACCUCGGAUCAGGUAGGGAUACCCGCUGAACUUAAGCAUAUCAAUAAGCGGAGGA
rnacentral:misc_RNA from 1 species